GGGUGAAGUCACGCGCAAGAUGUCGUCUUCUGAUUGGUUGAUAUUUCAAAGGGAAAGCAAAUAAAAUACUGCUGUUGUGUGAUUGCGAGUAGUGUUUAUCACAAUUUGUUCGCAAGUGUUUCGUUCGUCGCCUAUACGAACGGUUUUUACAGAGAAGAAUCCUUUGUUUCCUUAGAAAUUGUAUUCUAAGGCAACUUUAUAUCCUAACGAAGAAACAAGACUGAAUUUGGAGACAGAAAAGUCGUUAUAUUCAGCACAAGAAUGAGUCGUGUUCCAACGGGAAGAAAGCAGUCGAAGGCUUUGUCACCGCCACGAAGUCGAAGUAGAACUUCACCUUGCGUCGUUGCAACCUCGCUAGUUCGUUUUGAACAGCAUUUUACAGACUCUUCCGACAUAGACCCAACGUUCUAUGCCGGCCCAAAGACGGCUCCACAUCCAAGUAACGUACCUUUACCGCCAGCUCACUGGCUUACUUUUUCACAACCUAUCAACGACUUGACGGUAAUGACAUUGCAUUUGAGACAAAUCUUAAAAGUGCAAGCGUAGCGUAGCUAAAAGCGUAUUACUUUCCAUAGUUAACUAAUCUUUUUUCGUGUAAAUUUCGUGUAAAUCUGUAAGAUAUUUUAGGUCAAACUCGUAAUUCGUAGAUUGUAUAAAUGUAAAUUUAGUUUUUGUAUACAUAGGUAUAAGCAAUAUAGGAUAAGUAACGAGAAACGACGACACAUUUUGACAGCACAACACACACAUAGAGUAAGCCUUUUUGCAAGCAGUAGGAACUAGGUUUAUAACAAACAAAACGUACAGACAAUUUCCAAGCUUUCUGAACAACAAUGUUAACAAUAUUAAACGAUACGAACGCUUUCAUACCGACAUUACCUUCGACCACAACGAAGUACAAACGAAUCAACAAAUUCGAUCCCACGAGCUGAAAUGGAGUUGAAAUCUCAUGAAGGCUUUGAAGUCUUUUGAAACCAGCAAACAGCCAAAGCACCCGGGAUGAAAAGUAACGAUCAUGACUAUUCAUCGACGAAGAUGGACAUUUUUUAAACGACAAGACCAGACAAGACCUGCAACGACGAAUCUCAAGAAGAUUAAAAUACUUUAAAAGCAGAAGAGACCUCAGGAAAGAAAGAAUUCGGUUUCUCGCUACCUCAAGACAACGACUGGACAAGACAAACACACAACAGGCCCUUUUUAGGGCCGCCAAAUCGCUCAAAAGAAUUUAAACGAAUUAUUCGAUAUUGUUGUGGUUGUGGUUUUAUAUAUUAUUUACUGGGGG